rnacentral:rRNA from 1 species
UACAGAGGGUGCGAGCGUUAAUCGGAUUUACUGGGCGUAAAGGGCGCGUAGGCGGUCUUAUGAGUGUGAUGUGAAAGCCCCGGGCUCAACCUGGGAAGUGCAUCGCAAACGAUAAGACUGGAGUAUAUGAGAGGGUGGCGGAAUUUCCGGUGUAGCGGUGAAAUGCGUAGAGAUCGGAAGGAACGUCGAUGGCGAAGGCAGCCACCUGGCAUAAUACUGACGCUGAGGCGCGAAAGCGUGGGGAGCGAACAGG